rnacentral:rRNA from 1 species
CCUACGGGUGGCUGCAGUGGGGAAUAUUGCACGAUGGGCGCAAGCCUGAUGCAGCCAUGCCGCGUGUGUGAAGAAGGCCUUCGGGUUGUAAAGCACUUUCAGCGGGGAGGAAGGCGGUGAGGUUAAUAACCUCAUCGAUUGACGUUACCCGCAGAAGAAGCACCGGCUAACUCCGUGCCAGCAGCCGCGGUAAUACGGAGGGUGCAAGCGUUAAUCGGAAUUACUGGGCGUAAAGCGCACGCAGGCGGUCUGUCAAGUCGGAUGUGAAAUCCCCGGGCUCAACCUGGGGACUGCAUUCGAAACUGGCAGGCUAGAGUCUUGUAGAGGGGGGUAGAAUUCCAGGUGUAGCGGUGAAAUGCGUAGAGAUCUGGAGGAAUACCGGUGGCGAAGGCGGCCCCCUGGACAAAGACUGACGCUCAGGUGCGAAAGCGUGGGGAGCAAACAGGAUUAGAUACCCCGGUAGUC